CUGGCGGCGUGCCUAACACAUGCAAGUCGAACGAAGCUUGACGGAUGAUUUCUUCGGAAUGAAACCUGAUAUGACUUAGUGGCGGACGGGUGAGUAACACGUGAGCAACCUGCCUUUCAGAGGGGGAUAACGGCUGGAAACGGUCGCUAAUACCGCAUGAUGUGUUCGGAUGGCAUCAUCUGAACAUCAAAGAUUUAUCGCUGAAAGAUGGGCUCGCGUCUGAUUAGAUAGUUGGUGGGGUAACGGCCUACCAAGUCGACGAUCAGUAGCCGGACUGAGAGGUUGAACGGCCACAUUGGGACUGAGAUACGGCCCAGACUCCUACGGGAGGCAGCAGUGGGGAAUAUUGCACAAUGGGGGAAACCCUGAUGCAGCGACGCCGCGUGAGCGAAGAAGUAUUUCGGUAUGUAAAGCUCUAUCAGCAGGGAAGAAAAAAUGACGGUACCUGACUAAGAAGCCCCGGCUAACUACGUG
rnacentral:rRNA from 1 species